UGUAUGUGAUCAUUUACUCUGAAGCAAACAAAUAAACAAACAUGCAUAAAUAACUCGUUGCAGUUGCAACAAAAGCAACAACUGCCUCCAGCAAAGCAACUCACACACGCACACACACACAGAGAGAGGGCAGACAACCGAUAGAGAGAGAGAAAAAGAGAGGGUGAGCAGCGACUGCGCAGCUGGCAGCGACUCUGGAAUGCGGUUUUGACAAGUUCUUCUAAAAUUGUACGGCAACUUUUGCUAUUUACGCUAUGAAACAACGACAACAACCGAGCAGGCGGCAUCGGCAGCGGCAGCGCGACGAGAGCAGCAGGCGAAUGUGUGCGAAGGAGCACGGAAAGCAGAACAUGAAAAAAAAGAAAAAAUACCAACAACAGCAAUAGCAGCGCACAAGAUGGUUGGACGAUUAGAGAGGAGCACGGGCAACGGGCCACGGGCUUUUUUAGACACGAAGGCACGAAAUAUAUAGAGUUUUGUUUGCGGUCUUGGUUUGCCCAUCUUUGGCACGAGAGAGAGCAACAGUGAGUGAGAGAGCGGCAGCAGCAAACUAUGCAGCAAUGUCGUCGCCAUCGUCGGGCUAGUUGAACGAACGCCAAGACACUGCGGCCGAGGGGGCGUUAGGCAUGCCGAACGAGAUGCCUCUCGCAGCUGCAGACUCUUUGGCGCGACUUUUAAACGCGCAAAUGCGAAGAAGGUGGAAAGCACGGAAUAGCCGAGGAUUUACUGUUAUUCGAAGCCACUGUAGGCAGACGCACAAGGCACUUUUCUCAUACAACAGUAGCAUAAGCAAACGAGUAUGGUUCCAAUUGCUCAAUUUCUUUAUUCCGUCAAAUAUUACCAGCUAUAUAGAAUAUUUAGCCAUGCCCACAUAAUUUUACCCAAUUAAUGAAUCAAUUUUCUACUUAACUGACUAAUGUUUAAUACUUUCUUUUAUUGGAUUUUGCUUAAAAAAAGGUUUUAGCAAAAAAGGUCAAACAAAUGA